UGAUCCUGACUCACGAAUGAUUCCUGCUUCAAGCAAUUCCGUUAGGAUGAAUUGGGCUGCGUCCGAAAUCGCAUACUUCCAUACUAUAUAGUAGGCAAAAAACAGUAUGUGAAGCAAGUAGUAUGUCCGAAUUCUUAGUAUGCGAAAAACAGCAGGCGAGAUGUACCCGGAUGGACUACUACUUACGCACGAAUUCCGUAGCAUGCAUAGGAUGGACUCUAUCCCAUGAGGCUACGGUAGAGGAGGUGACAUAUUCGAAAAUAACGGACAAACGCGACGCGGCUGUUUUGAAGUGGACUGAUGAACACACUUGUUCUCAUCCACUGAAACCCUACUUACUGGAAACCAUAAUUCAGUAAUCCUGCUCUUGAAGAGAUGCACACUGUCAUCUAGUGUGAGUGUGACACACCUGUGGUCAGAUUGUCCCGCACAUGCUCUCCUGUGCUGACUUCUGUGUUUUUGGAUUCUAAUGUAUCAUUGUCAUGAUCUUCCACAACUUCUGGAUCAACAAUAUCCUCAUUCAGAAGACAGAGGUUGUGGAGCACUGCACAGCAUGCAGCAACAUCUGCACAAAGACAGGACUCACUUCCAGGGCUUGAAGAAGAAGAAGAUGGAGCACAGUUUGUCUUCAUCAUCCUAAAGGCUCUCUCAAUAAUGUUCUGUGCACGAGCAUCAUUGGUGUUGAAUCAAGGCUGUACAGGAUUGUGUUCAGGCUCUCUGUAUGGAGUGAUAAGGCAGAUGUGUGCACUCAAACAAGGAUACCCACCAUCUCCCAGGAUGUGUUUUCCUGCAGGUGGAUACAGGCCUUCAGUGUAAAUAGAGCUGCUCUUCAGCACCCUGGCAUCAUACACCGAUACUCAAAAAAAAUAUCAAGGUACUUCCCCUGGUGGUGACCUGCAGCUGAACAGAAUGAAACCGCUUCCUGCUGAAAUAACAUUGGGAUUCACUUGCUAGAGGUUCAGUUUGUAUGUGACAGCCAUCUAUUGUCCCAGUUACCAGAAGAAAAGCUGCUUCCACUGCCUGCCAUCUGUGGUGGGGAAGGCUAUCAGCCUCCUCAAAAUCCCCAUGACAGACCUACUCAUUCUGUGCACAAUUUUAUGCAGCUCUUGGAUAUCAA